UAGGGAAUAUUGGUUAAUCUGCGAAAGCGGGAACCAGCAACGCCGCGUGCACGAUGAAGGCCUUCGGGUUGUAAAGUGCUUUUUGAAAGGAUGAGGAAGGACAGUACUUUCAGAAUAAGCCUCGGCUAACUACGUGCCAGCAGCCGCGGUAAAACGUAGGAGGCGAGCGUUAUCCGGAUUUACUGGGCGUAAAGCGUGUGUAGGCGGUUUGAUAAGUUGGAUGUGAAAGCUCCUGGCUUAACUGGGAGAGGUCGUUCAAAACUAUCAGACUUGAGAGUGGUAGAGGGAGGUGGAAUUCCGCAUGUAGUGGUGAAAUGCGUAGAUAUGCGGAGGAACACCAGUGGCGAAAGCGGCCUCCUGGCCCAUUUCUGACGCUCAGACACGAAAGCUAAGGUAGCAAACG
rnacentral:rRNA from 1 species